GGGUUUUUUGAGGGUUAAGGUGAGGGAGGCUAAGGAAAGUGGAAGUGUAAAGCUGAGGAGGUAAGAGCAUUCCUAGAAAACGAAGAGUUUUGCAAAAUUUGAUGUGGAACUUGUACUAAAUCAUGAUGGGAAUGGUGAUGUUGAGAAGAGAAGGUUUAACUGUUAGUAGUAGCUUUACAAGAAAGACUUUGGGUUGGCCCCUGGAUUUUAUGAUACUGAUCCUUACCCUUUAAAGGCCUGAGACUGCUUCUGCAGGUACAUGGGAACAGGGGUUGCCAUGGAGAAAGGGGAUAAGCAAAGGGAGCGGAAAAGGAAGAAAAGGAGAAAAGGCAAUAAAGAGGACAAAAAUGGAAGCUAAGCCAAAUGGCAGAGCCCUGACAGCAAAGCCAGGAGUUCUCAGUGCCACAGAUUAUGUGAGGAACUGCUAAAGAAGCAAUUCCGCAAAGUGAGUGAGGGCCCAUGGGCCACUGCAUGACCUGCAUGGAAGGUAUGGAUUAUUUGACUUUUGCUGUCUGUCUCUUCCUGUGGUCUCUACACUACUUAUUGUCACCAGCCUAGGUAAGGAGAGCUUGAGCACCCCGGGGCCUGGCUUUUGUAGCAGGGCCACUUCAAGGUCUGCGACCAGAGGCAUCAGCGCCUGCUGGUCCAGGCAGGGCUCCUGCGUACCUGGAACUGCACAGAGAGGGGCUGACACCGAAGAGCAAACCGCUCCUACAGACCGAGCGGAGGCAAUGUGCGUUCCCACGUCCCCCCCUGGCCUCCGGAUCGCUCCGGGCCGUAAUGAGCCGC
rnacentral:lncRNA from 1 species